GACGAACGCUGGCGGCGUGCUUAACACAUGCAAGUCGAACGGAAAGGCGCUGCUUUUGUGGGGUGCUCGAGUGGCGAACGGGUGAGUAACACGUGAGUAACCUGCCCUUGACUUUGGGAUAACUUCAGGAAACUGGGGCUAAUACCGGAUAGGAGCUCCUGCUGCAUGGUGGGGGUUGGAAAGUUUCGGCGGUUGGGGCUGGACGCGCGGCUUAUCAGCUUGUUGGUGGGGUAGUGGCUUACCAAGGCUUUGACGGGUAGCCGGCCUGAGAGGGUGACCGGCCCCAUUGGGACUGAGAUACGGCGCAGACUCGUACGGGAGGCAGCAGUGGGGAAUAUUGCACAGCGGGCGGAAGCCUGAUGCAGCAGCGCCGUGUGCGUGAUGAAGGUCUUCGGGUUGUAAACCGCUUUCGCCUGUGACGAAGCGUGAGUGACGGUAAUGGGUAAAGAAGCACCGGCUAACUACGUG
rnacentral:rRNA from 1 species